CGCCCACCUGCAGCUGAUACCUUUUGAGAGUUACUAGCAGGCACCUCAGUGCAUCUUUAAGCAGCAGGAUGCCACUGAACUUGCACAGACUUUGAGCUACAGGCCUGUGGUUCGAGUGGCCCUGGGAACCCCUAAGUCAAAACCGGCAGGGGGUCCCAGGUUCCUGAAUCUAAUUGGUGCCUGCUGGACAGGUCUAACAGCUGUGCGUGGGGCAAUGCCUGUGCCUGUUGAGCUGGCUCAGCUGCAGUACGAGCGCUUCUCCACUGGCUCACCUGGUCGUGCUCUUAAACACCCCUUAGUGCAGUAAAACCUCCUCAGUGCAGUAGCUGCUCUCCUCUAGGUUGGAAAAGGCAACAGAGACACUGCAUGAAAGUUAUGAUGUUGUAGUACGAAGGCUAUAAAAACAGAAGAAGAGGGACUAAACCACCGUUCCAGUAGUUUUCUCUUCCCUUGAAACAGAGAAAUCAAAGUCAGGGAUGGGAAUAAAAGCAACAGAGACUUUGCUUGUACAAAACCAGCCCAGCACAAGGAAGUUAUCAGCAGCGGUGGACAUAGCCAGAGGAGCAAGGACAGUCAGAAAACCUGCUGGUCAAGUGGCAGCCCGGCUGUACCUCCUAGCUUACGUCCUUUUUGGGUAAUGAAAGAAGCUACAGUUUCUUAAAGGAAGGACAGAGGAACAUCCUCUUCAGACUGACACAAAAAGGGUUAAAGAGAGAACAGCCUGGGCUGAGCUCUGCUCCUCUUUGCAUCUGGACUUGCAUGAAAUCAAACCAGGCCAGCAGUUUGUCUACUCCAACUAAAAUGUAAAUGGAAAAUGUGCAAUACAUGCAUUAAAAAAAAACAAAAACAACAACAAAAAAAAAAACCAAAAAACAAAAAAACAGUGCAGGAGGCAUUUAUGCGUGUCUCACAGUGAGGUUGUAGCCAGCAGUGCAGAAGAAUGAAUCUUCAUUUUCUGCUCGUUUCUUUCAAGUACCUUGUUUCUGUUUAGAAAGCAAAGUGUUAAGUAUUUGCAAAUACAACAGCCCUGCAAACAUGCUAGCUUACAACUUCUCCCCAGCUGUGUCUUUAAUGACCUUGGACAUUAGAGACCAUUUACUGAGAGGGGAUGUUGCCCAGGCCACUGGGGUUAUCUGCUGCCCUCUCUGAGCACAUUCCCUCCAAUAGCUCACCUAGCUGAGUUAGGAGAAGGAAUGGGUUUCAACAGCGCUACAAACAGUGUUGAUGCUACAGAGGCAGAGGGGCUUCUGAGAUUAGCAUCUGUGUUUAUGGUGCUGAGUAAAGCCAAGUCAAACUUGAAGGUAAAGACACUAGUUAAUAUUUUAAGUAAGUCCCAAAUUAGCUGCAAAACUAACAGGAAUGCUUUCUUAGUACUGGCAGCUUUGAAGUACUCUGGAACAGUUUGGUACACCUCCAUUGGGCUCAUUGGAGAGCUUGUGAGGUGAGUGUGGCUCAUUCAGUUACGUGUACACAGGGUUGGAAUCCCAAAUAAUGAGCAGAAUUGUUGUCUACAGUAAUGCAUAAUAAGAAGUAUACGUGAUGGAACCCAGUCAGAGCUGAAGUUCCUAGCAGUGUGCUUGGUCACGAUAACCAGCAAAGGAUAAAAAUAAUAUGUGUUUAAUACUAGGAAUUCUCUGUUUCGGGUGGCACUAGGGGAUCUGUGAAGGACUGAGACAUCUUUGUUUUAUGCAGAACAUCCCUGCAUGAUGAAAAUCUCCUGUCUUUUAAAGGCGUUCUCUUCUGAAGCAGUUCGUUGUCCCUGGUAGCAUCUGUCCUCCUCAGGCCCUGGUGUCAUCCUCUGAGAAGCACACACCUCACGUUCCCAGGCCAGGAAGCAAGCAGUCUGUUGCCUUCUCUUCUUUCUUGCCAUGAAACCGUCAUGCUUCUGGCCUUCUUUGCUCAUCCCCAUGGGUUUCGCUGCUGGUGACUGUCUGCAACAGCUUGCAGCAGGAGGACUACGUCCUAGUGAAAGCCGGCAAUGAGUGGUGUCCCCCGGGAGUCUGUCUUUAGACCUUACUCUUUGACAUCAUUAUCAGUGACGUAGACGAGGGGGUUCAGUGCACCCUCAGCAAGCUUGCAGUCGACACCAAGCUGGUGCAGUUAGGACAACAAAAGGAAGGGAUGCUGUCCAUCGGUGGCUGAACGAGCUUGAAAGAUGGGCGCAUGUGAAUCCAAUGAGGUUUCCCAAGGCCAUGUUCAAGGUAUUGCACUUGGGUCAGGGCAGUUCCAUAUAUGAGUACAGACUGGGAGAAGAACUCCUUGAGAACAGUCCUGCUCAGAAAGACUUAGAGUCUCAAUAGAUUAAAAAGCUAAUGUGAGCGAGCAGUGUGUGCCCGCAGCCCAGAAGGUCAACAGUAGCCUGGGCUGCUUCAGGAGAGGAAUGACCAGCAGGGAGGGGGAGGGUAUUAUCCCUCUCUACUCUGCCCUCAUGACGUCCCAGCUGGAGUACUGUGUCCAGCUCUGGGGCCCCCAGUAGAGCAGGGAUGCAGAAAUGUUGGAGCAGGUCCAGAGGAGGGCCACAAAGAUGAUCAAAGGGCUAUGGAGGUAGAAACAGCAACGCCAACUGCCUUGUCAAUAAAAAAGACUUUUUUAUUAAAACAAACUAUUUUUAUCUUCUCUUAGAAGCAGACUGAGAGGUCGAUGUUCGCCUCUCAGUCCUCCUGAGCCAUUUCCUUCCCGGUCGUGUGGUGCCGGCCUAGCGCCGCCGCUGGGGCCGCCUCUUGCGGGGCAGGGCUGAGUCCUGGGGGCUGCUGCUGGCCUUCCUCUUUGGGGCAGGCCGGGGCCCCCCACGGGAACGGUCCCUGCUCUGGGUGGAGGGGCCCGCUGCCGCCGCCUGCCCCGGCUCCUCCUGCGCCUCCUCCUCUGAGGGCACGGUGGCGGCGGUGAGGUUCCCGGGAACCCUGCAAAGGACGCCGGGGAGCUCCUCAGCGGUGAG
ensembl:lncRNA